UCAAGCUAAUAAGAGCAUAAGGUGAAUGCCUUGGCAUCAAGAACCGAUGAAGGACGUAAAAAGCUGCGAUAAGCUUCGGGGAGGCGCACAUAGCCAACGAUCCGGAGAUUUCCGAAUGGGGAAACCUAGCUGAGAAAAGCUCAGUUGGCGUACAGUGAAUCAAUAGCUGUGCGUAGGGAACGCUCUGAACUGAAACAUCUAAGUAGGAGCAGGAAGAGAAAGAAACAUCGAUUUCCUAAGUAGUGGCGAACGAACGGGAAACAGGCCAAACCGAGAUACAUGUAUUUCGGGGUUGUGGACUACAUCAUGUGAUGGAGGUAAGGUAGUAGAAUUGUUUUGGGAAAGCAAGCCAAAGAAAGUGAAAGCCUUGUAUACGAAACCUGAAGACCCACAGUAGUAUCCAGAGUACAUCGGGACACGUGAAACCCUGAUGGAAGCCGGAGGGACCACCCUCCAAGCCUAAAUAUUCCUUGAUGACCGAUAGCGAAGAAGUACUGUGAAGGAAAGGUGAAAAGAACCCCGGGAGGGGAGUGAAAGAGAACCUGAAACCUUAUGUUUACAAACAGUCGAAGUUUUUCGGAACGACGGCGUACUUUUUGUAGAACGGUCCGGCGAGUUGCAGUGACAUGCGAGGUUAAGGAGUACAGCUCCGGAGCCGAAGGGAAACCAAGUCUUAACUGGGCGUCUAGUAUGUUAAUGCAGACCCGAAACCGGGUGACCUAUCCAUGGGCAGGUUGAAGUUACCGUAAAAGGUAAUGGAGGACCGAACUCACAUCUGUUGAAAAAGGUGGAGAUGACCUGUGGAUAGCGGAGAAAUUCCAAUCGAACUCGGAGAUAGCUGGUUCUCCUCGAAAUAGCUUUAGGGCUAGCCUUGAGGUAAAGUCUAAUGGAGGUAAAGCACUGAUUGGACGCGGGUCCCCAAAAGGAUACCAACUUCUAUCAAACUCAGAAUGCCAUAUAGAUAUACUCAGGAGUCAGACUAUGUGAGAUAAGUUUCAUAGUCAAAAGGGAAAGAGCCCAGACCGACAGCUAAGGUCCCAAAGUGUGUGUUAAGUGGAAAAGGAUGUUAGGUUUCUAAGACAACUAGGAUGUUGGCUCAGAAGCAGCCACUCAUUUAAAGAGUGCGUAACAGCUCACUAGUCGAGAGGUCUAGCGCCGAAAAUGUCCGGGGCUAAAACACACCACCGAAGCUACGGAAUUACCUAUGGUAAUUGGUAGAGGAGCAUUCUGUAAGGACGAAGCACAAUUGAAAGAGAGUGUGGACGAAACAGAAGAGAGAAUGCCGGAAUGAGUAGCGAGAUAUAUGUGAGAAUCAUAUAGGUCGAAUGUCUAAGGUUUCCUGGGUAAAGCUGAUCUGCUCAGGGUAAGUCGGGACCUAAGGUGAGGGCGAGAGCCGUAAUCGAUGGACAACAGGUAGAAAUUCCUGUACUACGUAUAAUCAGAACUGUGGGGACGCAGGAGGAUAGGAAAACCGGAGAAUGGAAAAAUCCGGCUAAGUACAAAGGUGUGAGUGAUAGGCAAAUCCGUCACUAUAAGCUGAAGUACGAAUGGGAGCGAAGAAAAGUAGCGAAGUUUCUGAAUCCACACUGUCAAGAAAAGCCGCUAUUGCGUUAUACGUACCCGUACCGCAAACCGACACAGGUAGACGAGGAGAAAAUCCACAGACCGACGGGAGAAGUGUUGUUAAGGAACUCGGCAAAAUGACCCCGUAACUUAGGGAUAAGGGGUGCCAACGCAAGUUGGUCACAGAAAAGAGGCUCAAGCGACUGUUUAGCAAAAACAUAGGUCUAUGCGAAACCGUAAGGUGAUGUAUAUGGGCUGACACCUGCCCGGUGCUGGAAGGUCAAAAGGAGAGGUUAGCGUAAGCGAAGCUUUGAAUUUAAGCCCCAGUAAACGGCGGCCGUAACUAUAACGGUCCUAAGGUAGCGAAAUUCCUUGUCGGGUAAGUUCUGACCCGCACGAAAGGUGUAACGAUUUGAGCACUGUCUCGACAACACGCCCGGUGAAAUUGAAGAACCAGUGAAGAUACUGGUUACCCGCAACAGGACGGAAAGACCCCAUGGAGCUUUACUGCAGCUUGAUAUUGGGAUUCGGUAUUGUAUGUACAGGAUAGGUGGGAGACUAAGAAGCUAGCACGCCAGUGUUGGUGGAGUCGAUGUUGGGAUACCUCUCUUAUAAUACUGGAUUUCUAACCUACUUCCGUGAUCCGGA
rnacentral:rRNA from 1 species